rnacentral:rRNA from 1 species
UGCAGUCGCACGAGAAAGGGGCUUCGGCCCUGAGUACAGUGGCGCACGGGUGAGUAACACGUGAAUUAUCUACCUUCGAGUGGGGAAUAACUGGGAGAAAUCUCAGCUAAUACCGCAUAAAACCUACGGGUCAAAGCAGCAAUGCGCUUGAAGAGGAGUUCGCGGCAGAUUAGUUAGUUGGCGGGGUAAUGGCCCACCAAGACGAUGAUCUGUAUCCGGCCUGAGAGGGCGCACGGACACACUGGAACUGAAACACGGUCCAGACUCCUACGGGAGGCAGCAGUGGGGAAUUUUGCGCAAUGGGGGAAACCCUGACGCAGCAACGCCGCGUGGAGGAUGAAAUCCCUUGGGAUGUAAACUCCUUUCGAUCGGGACGAUUAUGACGGUACCGGAAGAAGAAGCCCCGGCUAACUUCGUGCCANCAGCCGCGGUAAUACGAGGGGGGCAAGCGUUGUUCGGAAUUAUUGGGCGUAAAGGGCGCGUAGGCGGUUUGACAAGUCUGAUGUGAAAUCUAUGGGCUCAACCCAUAGCCUGCAUUANAAACUGUCGGGCUUGAGUAUGGGAGAGGUGAGUGGAAUUUCCGGUGUANCGGUGAAAUGCGUAGAUAUCGGAAGGAACACCUGUGGCGAAAGCGGCUCACUGGACCAUAACUGACGCUGAGGCGCGAAAGCUAGGGGAGCAAACAGGAUUAGAUACCCUGGUAGUCCUAGCCCUAAACGAUGAUUGCUUGNUGUAGCNNNUACCCAAUCCUGCUGUGCCGAANCUAACGCGAUAANCAAUCCGCCUGGGGAGUAC